GGGGCUGGUGUCUGCCCUGUCAUUCACGUAAUCCCCUACGGUCUUCCCAGGGGGUGGGGUCAGGAUCCCCCGGUAGACAGGCACGAGAUGCAGACAGCUGUGCUGUGAGUGUCUGAACACACAAGCGGACAACCGCCCAGCCAUCCUGAAAUGCAGAGCUCAGACCACACCUGCAGCUGCUGGCCCAGGGAACCAAGCCCAGCCUCGGCACCCAGCCGAGAAGCCAGCUGCAUGGCAGACUUGCAGGGAGGCGACUGCUCUCCCUCGACAACCAGGAGGCUAAACAGCAGCUCUAACAGUCGGCCCUUCAUGGCCAGGGCUUGUGUGUGAUGUGUAUGGUGUGUGUGAUGUGUAUGGUGUGUGUGUUGUGUAGUGUGCUGUGUAGUGUGUGUGUGCUGUAUAGUGUGUGUUGUGUGUGCUGUGUGUGUGUGUGUGUGAUGUGUGGUGUGUAUGUGUGUGUGGUGUGCGUGUGUGUGUGUUGUGUGUGUUUGUGUGUGGUGACCCUGACCCUGACCCUAACCUUGUCACUGUGGCAGGAGGUGAGAGGGCCCUGAGGCAGCUGGGGGCCCUGGGGUGAAAGGAAGGGGUGGUAGAGUGAGGGAGUGCUCAGGGCUCCCCAGGGAAACGCUGUCUCAGGGAGGCAGAGGUGGAAGAAAACACCCUUGCGUGUGUCAGAAGCAGCCACACAGUUAGAACUCUGACGGGGACACCUGGGUUGUGGCCCUUCUCCUGCCCAGCCUUCCACAGUGGGUGGCAGGGGGGUCUGCAGGCUGGAGGCAGGUUGGGGGUGCCCUCCCUGCCAGCCAAGCCAAAGUGACAAGAAUUCAGAGGAGCUGGGGAGCGGAGGGUGGGCUGUGGACGGGGCCGAAGACCAGAGCUGAGCUGGCCUCAGAAGGCCCCAGAGCCCGUCUGGUUGUCCCCUUGGACAGAUGGGGCAUGCGACGCCCACAGUGAGGAGGGCCUGCCCCAGGAUCUCACGGGGUGAGGGAACAGCAAAGGGAGGCUAUACAGCUGGGAUCCGAUACCCAGUCUAGGGUUCCUAAUAGCUUCCCACGACCUGUGCCGGGCAGGGGCAGGUGCCCAGGGCACCCCUGCAUGUGUGCAGCAUUCUCAGAGCUAGUGCCUUCCAAAAUGAAAAUAUUCACCAGGGCCUGGCCACUUAUCUAACAUACCCUGCCCACCACCAGCCUUGUCCUCAGGCACAAAACCCAGACCUUCCGGAAGAUUCUAUAUGCAUCAAAAUACUCCAAAAGGAUUUUGCAAACCUUGCAACAACAAAUAAAAAGGUCUGAAUUCUUGAAGCUCACAGGAGUGAUCUGGAGCUGUCGGGAGUCUCACACAGUGUCUGAUGGAGAGGGGCUGUGGGGGAAACGCGCCUGUCAGUGCUGCUGCAGACCAGCUGCAGGCGUCCACCCUGGCCUGAGGAGGGGAGCGCGUGUUCCUCUCGGGCUUGAGGGUCGGCUGAGGUCUGCUCACGGCAAGGACUGACUGGUCCUGCUUCACGCUGUGCUCUUGAUGGAUGUGGCUCCCACGCAGGUCCCCCUCCUCCGGUGGUUGCCCUGCUUCAUCACCUCUGCCAUCAAACAACUCACAAGUGAACCAGAGUCAAGGCUGGUGGGAGCAAAGGCAAAGUCACAUGGCACAGACAGUAGACACCGGGAGGGGAGAGUGCGGCCAGGACCCCUGCCGGCCACGUGGCUUGGCUCACCGCUGGAGAAGAGGUCGCGGGCAGGAGGGAUGGCGCGUGGAGAGAGGAUGAGGGCGCGUGGAGGGCGGAUGAGGGAAGGCCCUUGAGCCUCCGGCAGAGCCCUUCCUGCACUCACAGCUACAACUGCACAGUUGUGCCUGGAAAGUCCUAUCUGGGAACAGCAGAGGAGUCUUGCGACUUUGCUGUCCUACAAUUUACUCUGAGAGAUCGCUCUCCCAAGUCAGCGCUUGCUACCUGUUUGUCCAUUUGAAGAAGUCGCGCUUCAUUGCAUCCCAAAGUUGAAUUUGUUCAGUGGAAAAGAAAGUAAGCUUGCUUCUGUUUCCGCAGCUGCCGUUUGACUCUGGGGAUACAGUCCCGCCCAAAUGCAGGUCUUGCAACCUGCUCGGGAGGUGGGGUCCUUGGCCUCUAGGGGACUCUCCUGAAAUGGCAACAGCCCCUGCACUGCGUCCCGGGUGAGGAGGCCCCUUUCACAGCAGAAGAGGUGGGUGGGGUCGCCCAGCUUUGGAAGCUGCGUGACUUAGUGGGAGAACCCCGGCCUUCUUCCAGGCUGCAGGGGCAGAGCCGGUCCCACCUGCUCCGGCGCCCCGUGGCUGCUGUCUUCUUCCUUUCGAAACACCCUGGAGGUCAUCCUGGGAGACAUGAGGCACCGAAGUCAGUGAUCCUAACAUCGGAGUUGUGUGGAGAUGGGACCACCCUGGAAAAUCCUUUACGACGCUGUUGUGAUGCCACCACUUGGGCCCGAGAACCAAUGUCUCCUUUUCAUUCACCUUUGGCCUGGGGCUGCCCCUCUCGUCACAUAGGAGACAGUGGUGUGUCCUACAGUGGUGUGUGUACAGUGUGUGUGUGAGAGUGCAGUGUGUGUGUGAGUGCAGUGUGUGUGAGUGCAGUGUGUGUGAGCGUGUAGUGUGUGACUGCAGUGUGUGAGAGUGUAGUGUGUGUGAGAAUGUAGUGUGUGUGAGAGUGCAGUGCGUGUGAGUGCAGUGUGUGUGAGCGUGUAGUGUGUGAGUGUAGUGUGUGUGAGAAUGUAGUGUGUGUGAGUGUAGUGUGUGUGUGAGUGUAGUGUGUGUGAAUGCAGUGUGUGUGUGUAGUGUGUGAGAGAAUGUAGUGUGUGUGA
rnacentral:lncRNA from 10 species